CCUACGGGAGGCAGCAGUGGGGAAUAUUGCGCAAUGGGCGAAAGCCUGACGCAGCGACGCCGCGUGAGGGAUGAAGGUCUUCGGAUCGUACACCUCUGUCAGCAGGGAAGAACGGUCACUGUGCUAAUCAGCAGUGAAUUGACGGUACCUGCAAAGGCAGCACCGGCUAACUCCGUGCCAGCAGCCGCGGUAAUACGGAGGGUGCGAGCGUUAAUCGUACUUACUGGGCGUAAAGCGCUCGUAGGCGGUAUGUCAAGUCAAGGGUGAAAUACCCGCGCGCAACGUGGGAACUGCCUUGGAAACUGGCAAACUGGAGUGUGUGAGAGGAUAGUGGAAGUCCAGGUGGAGGAGUGAA
rnacentral:rRNA from 1 species